rnacentral:misc_RNA from 1 species
GAGCGUCAUUAACAACCCUCACGCCUGGCGUGGUAUUGGGCUCGCCCUGUAGGGCCUGCCUCAAAGUCAGUGGCGGCACCGUUUGACCCCUAAGCGUAGUAAUACUCGUCGCUUCUGGUGUCCGGCGGAGGCCUGCCAGCAACCCCCAAAUUUUUUUAAAGGUUGACCUCGAAUCAGGUAGGGAUACCCGCUGAACUUAA